AAGUAAACGAGCCUGCAGCAGUGUAUGAAAGUCCUAACAGCAAGUGAUGGUGAUGCUAGUUAUGUUAAUAGGUUCUGCUCCGCUGAUUACAGUUCCCUAGAAUUACAGAUUAUCCCAGAAUUGCAGUUACCAGAAGCACAGACAGUACAAGUGGAUCCUAGUAAUCAGUAUUAUAAUGUUUCCGUUAAAUAAAGAUAUAUGUUGUUUGGAUAAAACUUUUAGAAACAACUAUGUAUAGCAAAUCAAAUUGUAUUAUUAUAUGUAUCUAUGUUGAGGUAACUGAUCGGCAGAAAGAUGUAUGGCAAAUAUAGUUUAAAUAUUGUAUAUACCAAAAACUUUGCGACACAUGUUUUUGCCUUCGCCGUCCGUCUAAACGAAGCGUUUCUAGCUUUCACAUGUCAAACUGCUUGUGGGAUUACAAUGAAACAGUAGUGAUCAGUACCAUCCCUGGUUGUUCAUGUCGCCGGCACGUUCCGCUUGAUCACCAGAGCUAAAAACAGACACAUUUUGCCCGGCUUUCACAGGUCAAAAUGCUGGUUUGAUUUUAAUGAAUCGUGACAGGAAUGAUCAGCACCAUACCUAGUUGGGCAUAACGUCGGGAAGUUCCGCUUCAAUGCACUAAAUAGCCACCCGAGCUAAAAACAGAUAAAUCUAGUCCGACUUUCACAGGUCAAACUGCUGAUUCGAUUUCAAUAAAACUUCACAUGAGUAAUCAGUACCAUCCCCUGUUCGGCAUAUCGCCGGCAAGUUCCGCUUCGGUGAGGAACAUUGCAUUCAGAGCUAAAAUUGGCAAAUCAUGUUCCGUUUUCACAGAUCAAACUGUCGGCGGGAUUUCGACGAAACAUUGUUGUUCAUAAUGCCUGCACGUUCCUCUGCGCUGUCCGAAAUGGCCACCAGAGCUAAUAAUAGAAGACCGACUUUCACAGGUCAAACGCUAGCGGAAUUUCGACGAAACUUCACAGACGCGAUCAGUACAAUUUAAACUUGUUGGAGACAUAUGAUUUUUGUUUUUUGUUGUUGUUUUAUUUUGUUGCAAAACAAAGUUUUAUUAUAAAAAUUACUCUAUGAAGAAAACUAAAUUAAACUUCAUUGUUUGGCCAAUAGACGUUAAUUGUUAUAUUUGUUUGAUUAGAGAAAAGAAAUCGAAACUACAAAUUUAUUACAAUUAAAUUAUAAUCAUUAUAUUCAUUUGUUUGGAGAAAAAAAUAAAAGAAACUACGAUAUAAGACAAAUAAACUUUUAUUAUUAUUUGUUUGUGCAGAGAUAACUAGCACAAACUACAAUAAUGGACAAACCAACUUAUAGUAUUAUACGUGUUUGUGUGGAGAAAACUUAAAACAGACAAUAUCUUUCAAAAAAGUUUUAUUACUAUAUUUGUUUGUGCAGGGAAACUUAAAGAAACUACAUUAUAUUGGAAUUUAAACUUUUAUAUAUAUGUGUAUGUGUAGAGAAACAGGGGGUCGAACGUAUAGCUGUGAAAUACUGUUUUAAGCGAGGUGAAAUUGUGCGAUACUGAAUUAUGGUGGAUUUUAGACUGUAAACAUACGUCUAAAAUCCUUGAACCUGAUGUUCGACCACCAGGAUAAAGAAAAAUAAGAAUAAUAAGAAAGGAGUUUUGAGGUACCUUGGAGAAAGGAAACGUCAAUGGGAGUGCAAUCUGCUGGAAUGAGUUACAAUGUACAAUAUUGAAGAAAGACUGAUAUUGCCUUUGUUAGUUUUCGGACAUGCUUCUUAGUUAAUCAAACGAAAGAAGUCGAUAGUUUUUACAAUUUAUAUAAAACAAACAUCUCAACCAAUGGUGAAAAUGAGUACAAUAGGGAUAAUGCAUGCAUGUAUAUCCAAUUUGAAUAGUUUGCAACGUAAAAUCCUGAUGCUACAACUCCCAUUGUUCUUCGUAUAUAGUGUAAUUUAAAUGCUACAUACAUCUAUGUUAAUUCACUUACUAUUUACACUUGAAGAAUAUUGAAAUAAAUGUAAAAUUUCU